CAGCAGCCGCGGGAAUAAGGAGGAUCCAAGCGUUAUCCGGAAUCAUUGGGUUUAAAGGGUCCGUAGGCGGUCUUGUAAGUCAGUGGUGAAAGCCCAUCGCUCAACGGUGGAACGGCCAUUGAUACUGCAGGAAUUGAAUUAUUGGGAAGUAACUAGAAUAUGUAGUGUAGCGGUGAAAUGCUUAGAGAUUACAUGGAAUACCAAUUGCGAAGGCAGGUUACUACCAAUUGAUUGACGCUGAUGGACGAAAGCGUGGGUAGCGAACAGGAUUAGAUACCCGAGUAGUCCCUGUCUCUUAUAC
rnacentral:rRNA from 1 species